AACGAACGCUGGCGGCAGGCUUAACACAUGCAAGUCGAACGAGAUCUUCGGAUCUAGUGACAGACGGGUGAGGAACACGUGGGAACAUCCCUUUCAGUUCGGAAUAACGUUGGGAAACUAACGCUAAUACCGGAUACGUCCUUCGGGAGAAAGAUUUAUCGCUGAAAGAUUGGCCCGCGUCUGAUUAGCUAGUUGGUGAGGUAAUGGCUCACCAAGGCUACGAUCAGUAGCUGAUCUGAGAGGAUGAUCAGCCACAUUGGGACUGAGACACGGCCCAAACUCCUACGGGAGGCAGCAGUGGGGAAUAUUGGACAAUGGGCGCAAGCCUGAUCCAGCCAUGCCGCGUGAGUGAUGACGGCCUUCGGGUUGUAAAGCUCUUUUGUCCGGGAAGAUAAUGACUGUACCGAAAGAAUAAGCCCCGGCAAACUUCGUGCCAGCAGCCGCCGUAA
rnacentral:rRNA from 1 species